rnacentral:tRNA from 1 species
GGAGGGUAAAGCUAUCUGGUGAUACUCACGGACUUCAAAUCCGCUGGCGGGGUGGUUGACCAUCUCGCGGAGAGUUCGAUUCUCUCACUCUCUCGCCA